GCCCGCUUAGCCCAAUUGGUAGGAGGCAUCUGCCUUAGGAGCAGAACAGUGCGAGUUCGAAUCUCGUGGCGGGCA
rnacentral:tRNA from 1 species